UACGGAGGGGGCUAGCGUUGUUCGGAAUUACUGGGCGUAAAGAGCGCGCAGGCGGUCGUACAAGUCGCGUGUGAAAGCCCCCGGCUCAACUGGGGAGGGUCACGCGAUACUGUUCGACUCGAAGGCAGGAGAGGGAAGCGGAAUUCCCGGUGUAGUGGUGAAAUGCGUAGAUAUCGGGAGGAACACCAGUGGCGAAGGCGGCUUCCUGGCCUGUUCUUGACGCUGAGGCGCGAAAGCUAGGGUAGCAAACGGG
rnacentral:rRNA from 1 species